GGGGCCGUAGCUCAGCUGGCUAGAGCGCUACGUUGACAUCGUAGAGGUCACUGGUUCGAGUCCAGUCGGCCCCA
rnacentral:tRNA from 1 species